UUUCCUCCUCCCGAUUUUUUCUCCUUCUUCUCUGCCUUCUCCUUCCUCUGGGCUGAACUCGAUUUCCUUAUGUGAGGAAAUCUCUCCCUACUGACGAGUCAGGCACUUUGGGCUACACUUCCCUAUUCCAGGUCACUGGGACACCGUUUGAUGAACUGGAGUCAAGACUUACCAAGUGGAAUUCCUAUAGCUGGAGAUGUCUGUCUGCCUCCCUCCCAAGAUGACCAAAUUUUCUAGAAGAGUAUUUGCUUUCCUUGCAGAGCUAGCCAAUGGAUUUCUCUCUUCUAAGGCCCGGAAGCUGAACAGCAGGAAGAAGGCCUCUUCAUUCCUGUUUAGAAGAGAAGGAUCUUGUUGCUUGACUUUUCUUGACUAUUGUCUGGCUUUCAUUGAAAGCUUUGGAAGUUCUACCCUAUGUCCGGCGUCCCAGGUCUUGAUGAACAAAAAGGAGUCAGCACCUAAGUUAAUCUUCCUUCUUCAUUUCCAACCACAGCUCAAGGGUUUUGCUGUCUGUCUUUGGAAAUGACUCAACUAACAGAUGGGGGUGGAAAUCUGCACCACGAAAUUAAUUACGCCGCGUCUUCAGGCUUUGUCCUCUCAUUUACUGAAUCGUGUUUAAUUAACAACUCAAGACUGCACCUCCUUGCAGAUGAGUUUGCAUUUCAUGAGAUCAUAAAAUUAAAGAAAAAGUCUGCCAAGCUCACUGCUUGUUAUAGUCCUUGUCCCCGGCCUGACCCUGAUUAC
rnacentral:lncRNA from 1 species